rnacentral:rRNA from 1 species
CGCGUAGGCGGCCAUCUAAGUCAGACGUGAAAUCCCCCGGCUUAACCUGGGAACUGCGUCUGAUACUGGAAGGCUUGAGUAUGGGAGAGGGAUGUAGAAUUCCAGGUGUAGCGGUGAAAUGCGUAGAUAUCUGGAGGAAUACCGGUGGCGAAGGCGGCAUCCUGGACCAUUACUGACGCUGAGGCACGAAAGCGUGGGGAGCAAACA